rnacentral:rRNA from 1 species
UACGAGGGGUGCAAGCGUUGCUCGGAAUUAUUGGGCGUAAAGAGCUCGUAGGCGGUUCGUCGCGUCGGCUGUGAAAACCCGAGGCUCAACCUCGGGCCUGCAGUCGAUACGGGCGGACUAGAGUUCGGCAGGGGAGACUGGAAUUCCGGGUGUAGUGGUGAAAUGCGUAGAGAUCCGGAGGAACCCCAGAGGCGAAGGCGGCGCCCUGGCUCGCAACUGACGCUCAGACACGACAGCAUGGGGAGCGAACGGG